GCCCUGCUAGCUCAAUCGGUAGAGCGUGAGACUUUUACCAUCUCAAGGCUGCGGGUUCGAGCCCCGCGUGGGGCU
rnacentral:tRNA from 1 species